rnacentral:SRP_RNA from 1 species
CGGUGGGUAGGGACCGGGGGAUAGCCGUCCCCGCUUGGCCGAAACCGGCUUCAUGCGGCGCCAGUAACCUUCGGGUAAAGCCACCUUCCCCGCAACCCGCGACUGGCGGGGGAGACGAACUCACGCCGAGGUGGGCGGUCAUGAGGAGCAGUCCUCUCGAAGGAGAGGUCCUGACUCUUGAUUGCCGAAUCGGGCGAGGUCCGGGAGGGAGCAGCCCUAGGGUGACGUGACCACGCUGCCUCGUCUACGUGGGGGAUUCCCCGUCUGACGAGACGGGGGCGAGGAGUGAUGGUGAACUCCGAGGGACCCGCCG